UUUGGAGUGUGUAUGCUCGAGUGCAAGUGGUUCCCACAAAUGCCUCCUUCUUUUCCCUCUUCCUUGAGGACACACUGCUACUAUCCUUCGUGGCUACAAACUGCCCAAGAUUCAUUGUGCGCCCAAAGAGAAGAAACAAAUAAAUAAAUAAUGGUGACCUCAAGAGGUGCAGAUCCCGCAUUUAAAUACAAACUGACACAGUGGCAGCUGACAGACCUUGUUGAUAGUUUUAAAGGGAGUCUGGUUCACCCAAGGAAGGAGCAACCA